CAGCAGUGAGGAAGGCAGGUACGUUAAUAGCGUGCUUGUUUGACGUUAGCUGCAGAAGAAGCACCGGCUAACUCCGUGCCAGCAGCCGCGGUAAUACGGAGGGUGCGAGCGUUAAUCGGAAUUACUGGGCGUAAAGCGCAUGCAGGUGGUUUGUUUAAGUUCAGAUGUGAAAGACCCGGGGCGUCAACCUCGGAAUUGCAUUUGAAACUAGGCAGACUAGAGUACUGUAGAGGGGGGUAGGAAUUUCAGGUGUAGCGGUGAAAUAGCGUAGAGAUCUGAAGGAAUACCGGUGGCGAAGGCGGCCCCCUCGGACAGAUACUGACACUCAGAUGCGAAAGCGUGGGGAGCAAACAGGAUUAGAUACCCUGGUAG
rnacentral:rRNA from 1 species